GACGAACCGUGCGAACGUUAUUCGGAAUCACUGGGCUUAAAGCGCGUGUAGGCGGGAUGGCACGUCGGUCGCUGAAAGCCCCCGGCUCAACCGGGGAAGGGGCGCCGAUACGACCGUCCUGGAGGGACGUAGGGGGACCUGGAACUUCCGGUGGAGCGGUGAAAUGCGUUGAGAUCGGAAAGAACACCAACGGCGAAAGCACUCUGCUGGGCCGACACUGACACUGAGAGACGAAAGCUAGGGGAGCAAAUGGG
rnacentral:rRNA from 1 species